UACAGAGGUCUCACGCGUUGUUCGGAUUCAUUGGGCGUAAAGGGUGCGUAGGUGGCGGGGUAAGUCAGGUGUGAAAUUUCGGAGCUUAACUCCGAAACUGCAUUUGAUACUGCCUUGCUUGAGGACUGGAGAGGAGACUGGAAUUUACGGUGUAGCAGUGAAAUGCGUAGAGAUCGUAAGGAAGACCAGUGGCGAAGGCGGGUCUCUGGACAGUUCCUGACACUGAGGCACGAAAGCUAGGGGAGCAAACGGG
rnacentral:rRNA from 1 species